rnacentral:rRNA from 1 species
UACGUAGGGGGCUAGCGUUGUCCGGAAUCAUUGGGCGUAAAGAGCGCGUAGGCGGCCAGAUAAGUCCGGUGUGAAAGUCAAAGGCUCAACCUUUGAAUGCCGCUGGAAACUGUCUGGCUAGAGUCCGGGAGGGGAGAUCGGAAUUCCUGGUGUAGCGGUGAAAUGCGCAGAUAUCAGGAGGAACACCGAUGGCGAAGGCAGGUCUCUGGGCAUUAACUGACGCUGAGGAGCGAAAGCAUGGGGAGCGAACAGGA